AAAUUGGAAAUAAAAGUGCGCGGCUAAGGAAUUGAAGCCGUGAUCUCUGGCUUCGGUUAAAACCGGCUAACCAGCUAUUCCGUGGCUGUUUUGUGAACAAAUAGAGAACAAAAUAAAUUUAAGUAGUAGUUAUAGAUAAUAGAAAUAAAAGGGUGCAGGAAAAAAGGGCCGAGCCGAGGCUCGACCCGAAGACCUCCGACCGCAGCAAAGUUUUAAGCGGAACACAGCCAACCAACUCUGCUAGCGAUCAUUUGUUAUUAAAGAAGGAGAAAAAUUCCACUUAAGCUAUAGUUGGAAACGAAAAUAACCUUGAGUAUAAGUUUUAAAUCCUUUUCCCUAAACCUAAAAUUUCUCCCGAAAUUCCCUUUCUUCUCUCACGCUCACGACGCCGCGCGACGGCUCUCUCUCGGGUGGAAACGAAGACGACUUAGGGCACGUCUCCGGCGGCCGACGAGCAUCGUUUUCCGACCGGUUUUCAUCCGCGCGUGACCACCUCGACGAGAGGAGCUCGGAAACGCAAAGAAGCCGCCGGGAUUCUCAUCUAUCCGAAACCCUAGAUCUCCCUUUUCGGCUAUAAAGAAAAAGGAAAGCUAAUAUGAAGGAAGGCGACAAGGAGAUGCAAGAGGGGUUCUAUUGACAAAGUUUCCUAGCGUGCCACCAACGUUCCAAGUAACAUCAAAUGUUGUCCAGGAUUUGACAAUUACAAGGUAAAUCGGAAACUUGCUAUCUCGCGUUUGGUAAGUUCAAUUUGAACAGACGAUGAUUGAACGUGCAGGAAUGUGACGUUGCCUGGAUGCUGCUCGUACAUCGACUAUCUAGUUCAAUCUUGAUGCAGUGUGCAGUCACAAUUGAAUGAGGCUAUUUUAAGAGAGUAUUACGGAGAAGCUGCAAAGUUGAAGUUGGCCAUAACUGGUGCUACAAAAAAGGAUAUUGUUGGAGCAGCAUUGACUAUUAUGAAUAGAGCUAUAGAGGAAGAGUGAUACAGCAAUGCAGCUUUCAUUCGUGAUUAUGUUGGGGCAGGACUGCUACAUGAAGCUAUUCACUCCAUUGAGCUUUAUUCAUUUUGCUAUAUGCAAGGCUAUAACAGUGGCUGCCAAUUCUUAUAUAUUGAUUGAAAAAGAAUCAACAAGUGAGAAAAAAGAGUUCAAUGAAGUCCUACAAGUUGAAGAUUGUGAUGGGACUUGUUCAUUAGUUGGCUAUUGUUCAUUAGUUAUAAAUGGAACUUAUUUGUUUAUUUGUAUUGAGAUAAAUUUUAUUUAAACAUGAGACAUGUUUCUUCUUUUGUGAUUGUAAUUCUUGUAUAAGUAACAUUUUGAAUGAUAUUGAUGUGAGGAAUA